rnacentral:rRNA from 1 species
GGAUGUAAUCUCCAUGUUGUUAACUCAGACAAUAUUGAAAUCAUCAACAAAAUGAAGAAUGGGGGACAGUCGGCGGGAGUGGCGGCGGCGGUCUUUGAUGAUUGCUAUUUUUUGUCUUGUGAUAUUCCUCUCACUAGGUUCGGACAUUGUAAUAGGGAAGCAAAUAAGGUGGCUCAUGAACUAGCUAGAUUAGCGAAAAUUUCCGUGACAAGGGACUAUUUUGAGGAGCCCAUGGAUGAAAUUAUACCUCUUCUUAUGGACGAUGUAACUGUUAUUUGCAAUUAG